AGAAGUCUGCUAUCUUCACCAUGGUGUUUUGUGGAUUCACCAACUGGACCUAUUAGUCAGACUUGUUCUAUUCCUACAUGUCCUGAGAUCUUCACAUUUACCACAAUAUAUAGUAAUGCAAGCAUCAGUCUAGACCUAUGGCUGUGUUACUAUUGGAUACCAAGUGACGGCAACCAACCAAGAUAUAUACACAACCUCGUUUUGAACAAUACAACAAUUGAUGACGCUUGUCAAAAAUAUUUUAAUAAGAAACUCUUUUGUUAUGAUGACACCAACUGGUUAGAACUACAAUUUAUUUGUGUUGAUGGUAUAGAUACAACUAUUGAUGGUGUAGAUACAACAACCGGAGGUAUAGAUACAACAACCGAUGGUGUAGAUACAACAACUGGUGGUGUAGACACAACAACUGAUGGUUUAGAUACAACUGGAGGUAUAUAUACAACAACUGGUGGUGUAGGUACAACAACUGAUGGUGUAGAUACAACAACUAGUGGUGUAGAUACAACAACUGAUGGUUUAGAUACAACAACUGGUGGUGUACAUACAACAAGUGGAGGUAUAGAUACAAUAACUGGUGGUGUAGAUACAACAAGGAACGAAAUAACGUCACCAGAAGACACUAGUACCGCCAUUAUCACAACAGACGGCACAACAACGUACAGUAAAGCAAUUAUCACAACAACGUCGCCGAACGAUAUAGAUUCACCAGACGAUACCAGUACUGCCAUUAUCACAUCAGAAGAUGCAACAACAUCACUGAACCAGAUAACGUCACCAGAUGAUGCCAGUACCGUACUCAUCACAGCAGACGAUACAACAACGUCACCAGAUGAUACCAGUACCGUACUUAUCACAACAGACGAUACAACAACGUCACCAGAUGAUACCAGUACCGUACUCAUCACAACAGACGAUACAACAACGUCGUCUGCUGAGAUCAGUACGUUAUUAAACGACUGGUUAAUGAAUGGCGUCAUUAAUUCCACAUUUUGGUUUCCAACGACCGAGAAAACUACCUGUGGUUGUUUUUGUGCGGAUAACAUAAUUAUGAACGAUAGCAAGCAAAUGAUGGAAACACGAAUAAACGGUGUUCAAAAAUAUUUGGAGAUAGAUUAUAAAACACUAUCCGCUACUAUUCGAAAGUACAACAGUAUUAAAGACGAUAGACCGUCGGUAGUAUGCAUAGGUGGUUCGGCUGUGAUGAUAAUAUGCCUUAUCAUGGCAUGGAUCAUUUUGUCUGACGCUAUGAACUUCUGUCGAUAUGUAUAUGGUUUGAACAAAAAAGAAGUAGCGCGUGAGUAAUACCUACAUUCUAGGCCAACCCCUUGUCAGUCAUAUUUAAUUUAUGCGUUAAAGACAAUAUUUUAGAAUACCCUCACAACGAGUUCUCUUAUCAGUUAAUUUAUCUAAUACAGUAGAACAUAAAUUAAUCACAAUAUGUAACACUAUCUUAGUGAUAACGGAUAUCAGUUUCGUAUAUAUAGGAUUUAUUUACAUCGGAACAGAGUAUAAAACAGCUACAUAAAUACAACAGGAACUAAACUACAUCGGGAAUAUACACGAUAACAUUAACAUACGCCGGUCUCUACUCUUCUCUCGUCUGUGUCUCUCCUUCUCUCCGCUCGUCUCCAACUGACAGUAAACUCCUGGUUAUAUAGCCGCCGACAAAAUGGAUAAGAGGCAUCAUCAUAUGUGAUAUUGUUUAUUUAUCAGGUUAUGAUAUCUGUAAUUGCACUGCGUAUUUCCUUUGAAGUAAUUAUCAGGUCAUGGUAUGAUGCACUGACCACUGCACUUUCCUUUAAAGGCAUGCUGAGUGUUGUACACGGAUCAUGUGUAGCUUGUAAAGGACAUAUGAGAUUAAUUACAUGUUUAAUUGCAACACAGACAGUCGUGACUUAACAGAAGUAUAUACAGUGUUAAAGUCGAUAUUAUCUAUUAUCAAACCAGCUGGAGUCAGUAAGUUCACAGAAUCUAAAUAAUAGUUCGUAUUUUAUAAAAUAGAAAAUUAAGCACUUUGUCACAAAUAUUCGUUAUUAAUGAAUACAUAUGUGUAGCUAAGGUCAUAUAAAAUAAAUUUUACAACAUUUUGCUUAACUGGACAAACAUAUAAAUAAUUUUGAUUAUGAUCCGUAAGCGAUAAAUUGGAUUAAUGAGGCCAGAGUAUAAGAGGCAGUCACUUAGAUGAAUCAAGCAAUGUGUGUUUGCUUUAGUUUAUUGUGAAACUGCAGGCUGGACCUUGGAUUCGUUCGACUAGUAAUGAUAUAAUUCUAGUUGGCAGAUAACUUGGAUGACAACUCACUUCUCAUUAUAAACCCCGUACUUUAGAAAACGACCAACAAAUGACAUAACUCAAUAAUGGUAUUGUUGCGACACUAUCAAACCAGCUGUAUUAACUAUAAUCAAAUACAGGGAAAGAGAAAUGGGGUUUAACGUCCACUCCACAUAAACUAGCUUAUUUCGGGACUGACAUAUGGCUCAAUUUUAUUUCAUUAAUUUGCUUGCGGGUAGGGGUCUUCAGCAGCGGGAGGAAACCGGGGGAUCGGGAGAAAUCCCACGAGGUUGGACAGGUGGCCCUACCCUUUGUCACGCACAGGAGGGGAAUCGAAACCACACCACUUGACUCAAUGGCAGACACAACGAUGGAAGGCACACGCGUUUACCAUCCGGUCACCCCCCCCCCCCCCCCACACACACACACCCUAUCAAAUACAAUCUAAAUCAAAAUGAACAUAAAACACUAAAUACAAAAACAUCUCCAUUAUUUCAUUUUAAACAGUUUACAUUAAUUUCCCAAAAAAAAAUCAGCGUUGGCGUUUCAGCUAGUGUCGCAAGAAGUGAAUCACACAGCUCAAUGCACCUGCAUUUACACGUAAUCUACGGAAGCCCAUAUACAACUAUGUAAACACUCUUGCAACAAUAUGCUAAUGAUUUCCCUCUAAUUCCUACGUGCACCUGUUGUUGGCGGUACCAAUCAAUCAAAUAACAAUAUUUAUUGCGCGGAAGAUAUCGAUUACUUUAAGUCAAUGUAUUUCUAUGUAAAGUGUUGUGUGAUUUUGUUAGAUAUAUUUCUAUCAAGUGUUGUGGGAUUUUGUUCGUG